rnacentral:rRNA from 1 species
GGGACUGACCCCUUCCGUGCCGCAGCAAACGCAAUAAGUAAUCCACCUGGGGAGUACGACCGCAAGGUUGAAACUCAAAGGAAUUGACGGGGGCCCGCACAAGCAGUGGAGUAUGUGGAUUAAUUCGAAGCAACGCGAAGAACCUUACCAGGUCUUGACAUCGUAUGCAUAGCUCAGAGAUGAGUGAAAUCUCUUCGGAGACAUAUAGACAGGUGGUGCAUGGUUGUCGUCAGCUCGUGUCGUGAGAUGUUGGGUUAAGUCCCGCAACGAGCGCAACCCUUACUGUUAGUUGCUACGCAAGAGCACUCUAGCAGGACUGCCGUUGACAAAACGGAGGAAGGUGGGGAUGACGUCAAAUCAUCAUGCCCCUUAUGACCUGGGCCUCACACGUACUACAAUGGCUGUCAACAGAGGGAAGCAAAGCCGCGAGGUGGAGCAAACCCCUAAAAGCAGUCUUAGUUCGGAUUGUAGGCUGCAACCCGCCUACAUGAAGUCGGAAUUGCUAGUAAUCGCAGAUCAGCAUGCUGCGGUGAAUACGUUCCCGGGCCUUGCACU